CCUACGGGAGGCAGCAGUGAGGAAUAUUGGUCAAUGGACGCGAGUCUGAACCAGCCAAGUAGCGUGCAGGAUGACGGCCCUACGGGUUGUAAACUGCUUUUAUUAGGGAAUAAAAUGAGGCACGUGUGCCUUUUUGUAUGUACUCCAUGAAUAAGGAGCGGCUAACUCCCUGCCAGCAGCCGCGGUAAUACGGAGGGUCCGCGCGUUAUCCGGAUUUAUUGGGUUUAAAGGGAGCGUAGAGGGCUUGUUAAGUCAGCUGUGAAAGUCCGCGGCUCAACCGUGGAAUUGCGGUUGAAACUGGCUGUCUUGAGUGCACGCAGGGUAGGCGGAAUUCGUGGUGUAGCGGUGAAAUGCUUAGAUAUCACGAAGAACUCCGAUUGCGAAGGCAGGUGACGGAAGUGCAACUGACGCUGAGGCUCGAAAGUGUGGGUAUCAAACAGGAUUAGAUACCCCAGUAGUC
rnacentral:rRNA from 1 species